GGAUUAGAUACCCUGGUAGUCCACGCCGUAAACGAUGUCUACUAGUUGUUGGGGAACUUGAUUCCUUAGUAACGAAGCUAACGCAAUAAGUAGACCGCCUGGGGAGUACGGCCGCAAGGUUAAAACUCAAAUGAAUUGACGGGGGCCCGCACAAGCGGUGGAGCAUGUGGUUUAAUUCGAUGCAACGCGAAGAACCUUACCAUCCCUUGACAUCCUGCGAACUUGGUAGAGAUACCUUGGUGCCUUCGGGAACGCAGUGACAGGUGCUGCAUGGCUGUCGUCAGCUCGUGCUG
rnacentral:rRNA from 1 species